rnacentral:rRNA from 1 species
GUGAAGUAAGUGCAAGCAGCGCGGGGAAUAAGGGGGGUGCAAUCGUUAGUCGGAAGCACUGGGUUGAAAGGGUGCGGAGGCGGUUUGAUAAGUCAGAGGUGAAAGGCUACGGCUUAACUGUGGGAUUGCCUGUGAUACUGUUGGACUGGAAUUGAGUUGAAGUUAGUGGAAUGCGGCAUGUAGCGGUGAAAUGCAUAGAUAUGUCGUAGAACACCGAUUGCGAAGGCAGCUAACUGGGCUUAAAUUGACGCUGAGGCACGAAAGCGUGGGGAUCGAACAGGAUUAGAUACCCCUGUAGUC